rnacentral:rRNA from 1 species
CCCCUAGUAACUGCGAGUGAAGCGGGAAAAGCUCAAAUUUUAAAUCUGGCGGUCUCAGGCCGUCCGAGUUGUAAUCUAGAGAAGUGAUGCCCGCGCUGGACCGUGUACAAGUCUCCUGGGAUGGAGCGUCAUAGAGGGUGAGAAUCCCGUCUCUGACACGGACUACCAGGGCUUUGUGGUACGCUCUCAAAGAGUCGAGUUGUUUGGGAAUGCAGCUCAAAAUGGGUGGUAAAUUCCAUCUAAAGCUAAAUAUUGGCGAGAGACCGAUAGCGAACAAGUACCGUGAGGGAAAGAUGAAAAGAACUUUGGAAAGAGAGUUAAACAGUACGUGAAAUUGCUGAAAGGGAAACGCUUGAAGUCAGUCGCGUUGGCCGGGAAUCAGCCUCGCUUUUGCGUGGUGUACUUUCCGGUUGACGGGUCAGCAUCAAUUUUGAUCGCUGGAAAAAGGCUUGGGGAAUGUGGCAGCUUCUGCUGUGUUAUAGCCCCAUGUCACAUACGGCGAUUGGGAUUGAGGAACUCAGCACGCCGAAAGGCCGGGUUUCGACCACGUUCGUGCUUAGGAUGCUGGCAUAAUGGCUUUAAGCGACCCGUCUUGAAACACGGACCAAGGAGUCUAACAUGCCUGCGAGUGUUUGGGUGGAAAACCCGAGCGCGUAAUGAAAGUGAAAGUUGAGAUCCCUGUCGUGGGGAGCAUCGACGCCCGGACCAGAACUUUUGGGACGGAUCCGCGGUAGAGCAUGUAUGUUGGGACCCGAAAGAUGGUGAACUAUGCCUGAAUAGGGUGAAGCCAGAGGAAACUCUGGUGGAGGCUCGUAGCGAUUCUGACGUGCAAAUCGAUCGUCAAAUUUGGGUAUAGGG